UGGGACCAUAAGACGUUGAAACACCGGUUCUCGUACGAUCAUCGAAAUUAAGCAACGUGGAACCUGGCCAGUACUUAGAUAGGUUACAUCUUGGGAAUACCAGGUGUUGUAAG